rnacentral:tRNA from 2 species
GGCGGCAUAGCCAAGUGGCUAAGGCAGCGGUCUGCAAAACCGUUAUUCCCCAGUUCAAAUCUGGGUGCCGCCUCCA